rnacentral:rRNA from 1 species
AACCUCCGCAAUGUGAGAAAUCGCGACGGGGGGAUCCCAAGUGCCAUUCUUAACGGGAUGGCUUUUCAUUAGUGUAAAGAGCUUUUGGAAUAAGGGCUGGGCAAGACCGGUGCCAGCCGCCGCGGUAACACCGGCAGCUCUAGUGGCAGCAGUUUUUAUUGGGCCUAAAGCGUCCGUAGCCGGUUUAAUAAGUCUCUGGUGAAAUCCUGUAGCUUAACUAUGGGGAUUGCUGGAGAUACUAUUAGACUUGAGACCGGGAGAGGUUAGAGGUACUCCCAGGGUAGAGGUGAAAUUCUGUAAUCCUGGGAGGACCGCCUGUUGCGAAGGCGUCUAACUGGAACGGUUCUGACGGUGAGGGACGAAAGUUAGGGGCGCGAACCGGAUUAGAUACCCGGGUAGUCCUAACUGUAAACGAUGCGGACUUGGUGUUGGGGUGGCUUUGAGCUGCUCCAGUGCCGAAGGGAGCUGUUAAGUCCGCCGCCUGGGAAGUACGGUCGCAAGACUGAAACUUAAAGGAAUU